CAGGAAGAUGUGCACUGCUGGGAUUGGAGCUCCAAUACUCAGGGGCUUGGAUCAGAGCCUCUACCUGAAGGCUCGGGAAUGGAGGCUCCUUGAAGGACUGAUGAUCACCGUGUGGACUCUGUCGUGCUUACAUCCCUGGGAGCUGAAUGCAGGGAGACGAUCGUCUGCUAGGAUCUGAGACUCUGUCCAACUACUAUGCCCAAAUCAGCAUCAGCAUGCACACCUGGUUUCGUU
rnacentral:lncRNA from 1 species